rnacentral:rRNA from 1 species
UACAGAGGUCCCAAGCGUUGUUCGGAUUCACUGGGCGUAAAGGGUGCGUAGGUGGUCGGGUAAGUCUGAUGUGAAAUCUCCGAGCUCAACCCGGGAACUGCGUCCGAUACUGGUUGGCUUGAAUCCGGGAGAGGGAUGUGGAAUUCCAGGUGUAGCGGUGAAAUGCGUAGAUAUCUGGAGGAACACCGGUGGCGAAGGCGGCAUCCUGGACCGGUAUUGACGCUGAGGCGCGAAGGUCAGGGGAGCAAACGGG